CAGAACGAGGAGCAGUGAAUGCUGAGGCAGGCUUUGCACACUCUUGGCAUUCUCUCAAUCAGCUUCAUGAGGUCAUCACCUGGAAAUGAGUUUUAAUUAACAGGAAAACACAAGUUGCACACAAAAGUCACCACACGACUGCUGGAUAAAUCAUCAAAAUGGGG